AAUCUCAAGACUGGCAGAAUCCCUUUUGCCCUGGAAGACACCAUCUCCUGUGACCUCCGGUGAAACGGAGAUCCCUGAUACGACCUUUGCUCGCUGGGAAGUCAAGGUGCAAAGUUUGCCUUCUGGCCCCCAGCAGAUAAGAGAGAUCAGGAAGUGGCCCAUGAUAUUAUCCCCUCCCUGAGCUCAGAGCUCGACCCUCUAUGGAUGUCGACCAACAUUUAUCGCUGGAUGGAGGUGACCUUGACGAGCUACAGCAGCUCUCUAUGGCUGUGUCAGAAACCACUCCAAAAGAAGCAGCUCCGUGAGUGCGGCCCACACUUAAGGAAAGACCACACAAGACGACACAAGAGACUACACAAGAUGACACUCUGAAUGCUGGGAGCCGGGAAUCAUUGGAGCAUCUUAGAAGAUGCUUACUCUAGUCUCCAAAGUCUCAGAGACAUUGGACCUAGAAUGAAUCUCACGACCUUUACUGGUGGGGAUCUAGGAUGCAGACAAAGGAAUGAAUCAUUUCGGAUCCUCAGCCUGGCGAUGGCGAAGAGCAAGAUGGAGCCAGUGGCCGUGUGCA